GAAAAACACAACACCCUUUAACACGUUUCACACGGCUGCAAAUCAUUACUAAGUCGGGCUGCCUGCAGGGAAUUUCAGAAGCUGUGUGAGGAUCUUAAUGUGGGAUUUUCACUGUAUGAAUAUAAAAGAAAAUAUGACUCGAUUCUCAUGCUCAAGGGAAACUCUGCAAUAAAUUAGAAUAAUUUCUGAAAUCCAUAUGGUUGCUUGCCAAAUAUCUAGCUGAAAAUCAUAUCACCAUAUUGCACAUUCUCCACAGAAUGACAUUUUAAUGCGCAUUCUGUAGGCUCUGCGCCUAAGUACCUGGCAGUGUUCCCACAUCAGGACCCUCUCUGAUAGAGUUUCAGACCUCAGCCUUAUUUUUUGCACUUUCAGUACUUCGGAGAUGUCGCUUACGAUAAAACUCUCCAUUCGGCUACACAAAAUGUUCAAUAGUUUCACAAAUUUUGUUCUCUAAGCAGAAAUUACAAUUCAGGAGCAGCUCCUCAGAGUGAACACGAGCAGAUUGGAGUAGAUGAAAGGAAACCCAUUGGCAUUGAUCAUCCGAUCAGGCUGCUAAUGUUGCACUGCAGGACCACCAACAUCAAAACCUUCCUCAUAUCUUGAGCUACAAUUAAAGCCAAAUGCAGAUAUGAGUUCAUUUAGACCUCUAGGCUGCAGUGGUUGGCAGAGGGAAGGAUAUUUUUAGGAAUUGUUUCCAAAGGCUGGUAAAAUUUGCUGAACAAAUAGGGUGCUGUGAAAAAGUAUUUGCCCCUUAUAGAUUUGUCAUUUUGCUACACUUAAAUGUUUCAAGUCAAACAUAUUUCAGUCAGUCUAAAUUCAACAAUUUAGAUUCCAAAUAAGGAUGUCAUAGAUGAGGGCAAGAGGCUAUUCAAACCAAUCUGCCCUAAUGUGGAGAAACUAAUUUAUCUACCCUAGUGACUACAUCAUCUGUAGAAUUAAAAAACAAACAAACACUCAAACAGAACCAGUGUGACAACAUGAAGUAGGCUUAACGGUCUCAAAGCAGCACAUUGCACCCCCAUCUAAAGAAAGAAUAAAACAUGCAAAAAAAUGUGAAGAUUAUUGAUGUUUAUUAAUCUGUAAAGGGUUACAAAACCAAAAAGGAACAAAACGACAAUUUCGGAGUGACCCAGUUAAACUCCAGACCCAAAUCCAAUUGAUACGGUAGGAAGCCACCUAUCAAUUAUUCAAGGGUGUUUGUCAGCAACUGACUAAUCGCGGUUGCAAUUUGUCCGGAAGUGCACGCCCAUUAUCAGGAGGAACUGAACUUCCCUCAACAUUCCCGGGGUUAGUUAUCGCCAAGGCGCUGCGGUCAGAGAGAUUUCGAGGAAAAUAAUAAUAGGAAAUCAUGGUUAAAUGUUGCCAGUGGGGAACAUGCAACUCCGACAGCCGUUUAGAGAGUGGAAUAUAAUUUAUUGCACUUCCAAAACACAAACGUAGCCUGGAAUAAUGCAAGAAAUGGAUCAAGGCCUGCAGCCACCUAAUGUCCAGUUCAAUUCACUGUGAUCAACGGAAACUACCACGUUCGUCUGCAGAAAGAUCCCGUUUCAUCACGGCUGUCUCUGCAGCUCGGCCGUCUCUUUCAGCCUCAUCUUCUCCAUCGUCUCCAUCCCAGCAUCAUCACCCUGGGGGAAGAUGUUCUCCUCCUCUCACACUCGCAUCACAUAAUGACCCACUGGUACAAUAGAUGGAGCUUCACAAUAAAAACCAGGGAUGCCUAAUCAUAUUAUCCUCUAUAA